CUUCAAAGCUCUUCUUCAGAGCUGAAGACCUCAUCAGGGUGCUGAGGAAUUACUGUCUGCCCUACAGUACUCUUUUGGGCUAAGCACAGAGUGGAGGAGCUGGUACAAGAAUUCUUCUGAAGGCAAAAACCAAGAGGUGAUUUUGUGUGUGUAAAGUACUCUGAUAGUGGAGUGACAAACACAGCAAGAAGGCCAGCCCUGAAGAGAAUUUAAUUUAUUAUGGAAAAUAACUGGCAAAGCUGCAACAAGCCAAUGCUUGGCUGUGUGGUAUAAGUGAAAUUAUAAUAGUUGUCAUUUAUAUACUCUGACUUGAAAACAGGCUGUUUUCAGGUUGAUAUUGUGUGUUUUCCAUACAAGAUUACUUUUUCCCUCUGCAUACCACCUC